rnacentral:rRNA from 1 species
GAUGAACGCUGGCGGCGUGCCUAAUACAUGCAAGUCGAGCGAACAGGCGAGGAGCUUGCUCCUCUGACGUUAGCGGCGGACGGGUGAGUAACACGUGGAUAACCUACCUAUAAGACUGGGAUAACUUCGGGAAACCGGAGCUAAUACCGGAUAAUAUAUUGAACCGCAUGGUUCAAUAGUGAAAGACGGUCUUGCUGUCACUUAUAGAUGGAUCCGCGCCGCAUUAGCUAGUUGGUAAGGUAACGGCUUACCAAGGCAACGAUGCGUAGCCGACCUGAGAGGGUGAUCGGCCACACUGGAACUGAGACACGGUCCAGACUCCUACGGGAGGCAGCAGUAGGGAAUCUUCCGCAAUGGGCGAAGGCCUGACGGAGCAACGCCGCGUGAGUGAUGAAGGUCUUCGGAUCGUAAAACUCUGUUAUUAGGGAAGAACAAAUGUGUAAGUAACUAUGCACGUCUUGACGGUACCUAAUCAGAAAGCCACGGCUAACUACGUG